rnacentral:rRNA from 1 species
UACGAAGGGUGCAAGCGUUAAUCGGAAUUACUGGGCGUAAAGCGUGCGUAGGCGGUUGCUUAAGUCAGAUGUGAAAGCCCUGGGCUCAACCUGGGAAUGGCAUUUGAAACUGGGCAGCUAGAGUGUGAUAGAGGAUGGCGGAAUUCCCGGUGUAGCGGUGAAAUGCGUAGAUAUCAGGAGGAACACCUGUGGUGUAGACGGCUUACUGGACCAUGACUGACGCUGAGGCACGAAAGCGUGGGGAGCAAACAGG